UACGUAGGGUGCAAGCGUUAAUCGGAAUUACUGGGCGUAAAGGGCUCGUAGGCGGUUUGUCGCGUCGGGAGUGAAAACUCAGGGCUUAACCCUGAGCCUGCUUCCGAUACGGGCAGACUAGAGGUAUGCAGGGGAGAAUGGAAUUCCUGGUGUAGCGGUGAAAUGCGCAGAUAUCAGGAGGAACACCGGUGGCGAAGGCGGUUCUCUGGGCAUUACCUGACGCUGAGGAGCGAAAGUGUGGGGAGCGAACAGG
rnacentral:rRNA from 1 species